GCAGGUUCGAAUCCUGCACGACCCACCAAUAUACAAGGUGGUAACUGGUAGAGAACGUGAAGGUUAACGUUGCUUUAGCAACGGCCCGAAGGGCGAGGCGAAGCCGAGUCAUCCUGCACGACCCACCA
rnacentral:sRNA from 1 species